AUUGAACGCUGGCGGCAGGCCUAACACAUGCAAGUCGAACGCGUGGCGGACGGGUGAUUAAUGUCUGGGAAACUGCCUGAUGGAGGGGGAUCACUACUGGACACGGUAUCUAAUCCCGCAUACCAUCGGAUGUGCCCAGAUGGUAUUAGCUAGUAGGUGGGGGAACGGCUCACCUAGGCGACGAUCCCUCGCUGGUCUGAGAGGAUGACCAGCCACACUGGAACUGAGCCACGGUCCAGACUCCUACGGGAGGCAGCAGUGGGGAAUAUUGCACAAUGGGCGCAAGCCUGAUGCAGCCAUGCCGCGGGUAUGAAGAAGGCCUUAGGGUUGUAAAGUACUUUCAGCGGGGAGGCGUUACCCGCAGAAGAAGCACCGGCUAACUCCGUGCCAGCAGCCGCGGUAAUAC
rnacentral:rRNA from 1 species